GAAUUUCAAGACUUGUCUUUGCGAGGAUGUCAAAGGAUUGCUAUAUUUAUAUGAAGCCUCAUACUUUUCAUUAGAGGGUGAAAGAAUAUUGGAGGAGGCUAGAGAUUUCACCACUAAAAAUCUCAAAAAAAUCCUCAAGAGGAAGGACAUGAUUGAUGAUGAGGACCUUGCCAUAUUGGUGAGUCAUGCCUUGGAGGUUCCAACACAUUGGAGGAUGCAAAGGCUAGAGGCAAGAUGGUUCAUUGAUAUGUAUGAGAGAAGACCUAAUUUGAGUCCCACAUUACUACAACUUGCUAAACUGGACUUCAACAUGGUUCAAGCCACUCACCAAGAAGAUUUAAAGCAUGUGUCAAGGUGAGAUAAAGUUACUAUAGCGUGCUAAUUUGGACAUUUUGUAUCACCCCAAAUUCGGGAACAUGAUCUACCUUGAACCAAGUGACUCAUGAAACCUAACACUCAACAUCCACUAAAAUAUUUAUAAAAUAGACUAAUCCAAACUAACAAUCACGAAACUGUUACGGGACACAAAAAAUUCACAAUCAAUCAACCUCCAAAAUAAAGUAUAAAGAUGCUAGAUAACCACAAUAAUUUCUAAAAUGACAACUAUAUGAAACUAAAGUCCCUAGAGGUCCAAGAGUGAGUCUCCAAUAAGGUCACAAAUUCCUCAUCUACUCCCCACAGACUCACUUGAAAAUAGUAGAAAUAGCGUCAGCGGAAAACAGAUUAAAGGUAACGGGUUCAAGAUGGCAUACGUGUGAAGAAAAUAAUCCUAGUGUCCAAGGAAUAGAACUAAACAGUCCCAAAUACUGUUCUCAGGAAAACAUAUAUAACUCAACUAGAUACUGCCAGAGAUAAUCAAAAGCAAUAAAAUAGUAAUGACAACAUCUGUAUAAAAGUAACGUGGGAAUCAUAACCAUAAUAAUACCAAAUGCCAAAUAUUAUCUAAGGCCAAAGUCCGUUGGAUGCAACAUCGUACUUUAGAGCCACCUCAGGAUGGCAGUUGAGCCUUUUUCCUAACCCGAUCUGGAAUAGAGUUACCACGGCUUUACUUGGGUCUUUUUCCUAAACCGUUGAGUACUAGAGUCAUCACAGUAUUACCUUAGUCUUUUCUCUAGCCGCCAGAGUCACCACAGCCUCUCAUGGGUCUUUUUUCUAAACUUUUCAUAUAAAUGGUCCAAAUACAAUCACAACGCGAUAAAGUGUUACCUGCAACAGAAAUGUUUUUCGUCCUACUACACAGUUUCAAAAUAGGCAUCUAAUGAGUACAUAAUCAAAGUAUAUCGUAUGAUAGUGAAGAUAGUAUAUCGUAUGUUAGUGAAGAAAAGUAAUUGUGGCUAGGUGCAAGUAUCAAAACAAGAUGGCUAUGAAUAAAUAUCUCAACAUAAAUAGAGUCGAAAAGAAUGGUCAAGAAAGAAUCGGAAAGCAUGCUUAACUACUCGCCUUGGAUCUGAAAAAUAAGAUCACCGAACGCAAUGAGUAAUACUACUCCAUUAAUCGCAAAAUAUACACAAAUAUAUUUAAUGACAUAAGUUAUUCCCACUACCACUAUUAUUAUUAUUAUUAGAAAUAUAUUUAAUGACGAAUAUACCACACCGAACUUCCACUUUGCCGCUCCUCUCUCUAAAUGUAUAAAACCCUAACCCUCUCUCUAGUUAUCUAUAAACAUAUUUUCAGAAAUUAAUGAAAAUAUCUAAUAUGUAUUUUUUUUGAUAAACAACCCAACACCCUCUUUAGUUUAUUAAAAAUUCUAAUUGUGCAAAAACUUUUCUUUAAUAAAAUAAUUAACCCAAAAUGCAUGCCAAUGAAACAAGUCUCUUUAUUUAUCAAAGCGCAUACUCACAAUAUUAAUCGUACAAAAUUACUCUCUAUUUUAUAGAAUGAAAAUUAAGAAAUAAUAAAUUUUUUUAAAGCCCAAGAGCAACGCCCAGUCCAAUAAAAAAAUAGUUAUAUAAAUAUAUAUAUUGGUUAUUUUCAUAUUCUUUCGUUCUUAUUUUUUUAUGUAGGUGGUGGAAUAAGACAGGCCUGGGACAAAAACUGAGUUUUGCUAGGGACAGGCUGAUGGAGAAUUUCUUGUGGACUAUUGGAAUGGACUUCAAGCCUCAAAUGUCGUAUUUUCGAAAAAAUAUCACGAUUUUCAUUUCUCUCAUAACAAUAAUCGAUGAUGUGUAUGACGUGUAUGGUACCCUGGAUGAACUUGAACGCUUUACUAAUGCCGUUGAGAGGUUGGUUUAUAUAUGGAUUUAUGAUUAACAAUUGAAUGCUUAAUGUGGGGUAGUGGAUGAAGAGAGAAAAUCAAAGAUAGACAUCUGCAACGGUUGCUAGCGGGUGAUGAUGGCAGAGAGUUGCUUGCUAAACCUGUGAAACAGGAACAAUGAGAAGGGCCAUCAGAGUUGUUUGGGUAAUAACUCUCUGGCGGUCAAGUUAGUAACCAGAAGUAUGUAGAGACUGAGAGAAAGGACUUGGCCUUUUAUAGUGUAACUCAGCAUGUGCCUGAACGCAU
rnacentral:lncRNA from 1 species